GACGGAAGGUGCAAGCGUUGCUCGGAAUCACUGGGCGUAAAGGGUGCGUAGGCGGCCGUGCAAGUCUGGCGUGAAAGCCCCGGGCUCAGCCCGGGAAGUGCGCUCGAAACUGCGCGGCUCGAGUGCCGGAGGGGAGAGUGGAAUUCCUGGUGUAGCGGUGAAAUUCGUAGAUAUCGGGAGGAACACCAGUGGCGAAGGCGGCGAUCUGGGAAGAUACUGACGCUGAGGUGCGAAAGCGUGGGGAGCAAACAGG
rnacentral:rRNA from 1 species